UACGUAGGGUGCGAGCGUUGUCCGGAAUUAUUGGGCGUAAAGGGCUCGUAGGCGGUUUGUCGCGUCGGGAGUGAAAUCCACUGGCUUAACUGGUGGCUUGCUUUCGAUACGGGCAGACUGGAGGUAUGCAGGGGAGAACGGAAUUCCUGGUGUAGCGGUGAAAUGCGCAGAUAUCAGGAGGAACACCGGUAGCGAAGGCGGUUCUCUGGGCAUGUCCUGACGCUGAGGAGCGAAAGCGUGGGGAGCGAACAGG
rnacentral:rRNA from 1 species